rnacentral:rRNA from 1 species
GUGGUUGGCCGUACUAACUAGAACAUGCCUGAACUUGUCUGCUCUCAGAAAUGAAGUUGGGUGGGAUGGGAAGUAUUUGGAUGGGAGAAAAUAAGAGUUGGUUACU